rnacentral:rRNA from 1 species
ACUCCUGCGGGAGGCAGCAGUGGGGAAUAUUGCACAAUGGGCGCAAGCCUGAUGCAGCCAUGCCGCGUGUAUGAAGAAGGCCUUCGGGUUGUAAAGUACUUUCAGCGGGGAGGAAGGCGAUAAGGUUAAUAACCUUGUCGAUUGACGUUACCCGCAGAAGAAGCACCGGCUAACUCCGUGCCAGCAGCCGCGGUAAUACGGAGGGUGCAAGCGUUAAUCGGAAUUACUGGGCGUAAAGCGCACGCAGGCGGUCUGUCAAGUCGGAUGUGAAAUCCCCGGGCUCAACCUGGGAACUGCAUUCGAAACUGGCAGGCUAGAGUCUUGUAGAGGGGGGUAGAAUUCCAGGUGUAGCGGUGAAAUGCGUAGAGAUCUGGAGGAAUACCGGUGGCGAAGGCGGCCCCCUGGACAAAGACUGACGCUCAGGUGCGAAAGCGUGGGGAGCAAACAGGAUUAGAAACCCCUGUAGUCCC